CUCCGGUUGAUCCUGCCGGACCCGACCGCUAUCCGGGUGGGACUAAGCCAUGCAAGUCUAAUGGGGCACCUAAACGUCCCAUGGCAGACUGCUCAGUAACGCGUGGUCAACUUACCCUGUGGAGGAGUACAACCUCGGGAAACUGAGGAUAAUGCUCCAUAGUUGAGAAGGCUUGGAAUAGUUUCUCAUCGAAAGAGUGCUAAGAAUGGUUGGCAUUUCGCCAUAGGAUAGGACCGCGUUCGAUUAUGGUAGUUGGUGAGGUAACGGCUCACCAAGCCUAUAAUCGAUAAGGGCCGUGAGAGCGGUAGCCCUGAGAUGGGUACUGAGACAAGGACCCAGGCCCUACGGGGUGCAGCAGGCGCGAAACCUUCGCAAUGCGCGAAAGCGUGACGAGGCUACCCGGAGUGCUUCUUGAAGAAAGAAGCUGUUGUCAGUGUCUAAUGAGCCUGACGAGUAAGGAGAGGGCAAGGCUGGUGCCAGCCGCCGCGGUAAAACCAGCUCUUCAAGUUGUCGGGACGAUUACUGGGCUUAAAGAGUCCGUAGCCGGUUUAGCAAGUCCUUGGUAAAAUCUGGCAGCUCAACUGUCAGUACGCUAGGGAAACUACUUUACUAGAGGGCGGGAAAGGUCUGGGGUACUCCAGGGGUAGGGGUGGAAUCCUAUAAUCCUUGGGGGACCACCAGUGGCGAAAGCGCCAGACUGGAACGCGCCUGACGGUGAGGGACGAAAGCCAGGGGAGCAAACCGGAUUAGAUACCCGGGUAGUCCUGGCCGUAAACGAUGCGUGCGAGGUGUUGGUAAGGCCACGAGCCGUAUCAGUGCCGUAGGGAAACCGAUAAGCACGCCGCCUGGGGAGUACGGUCGCAAGGCUGAAACUUAAAGGAAUUGGCGGGGGAGCACCACAAGGGGUGAAGCCUGCGGUUUAAUUGGACUCAACGCCGGGAAACUUACCGGGGGCGACAGCAGUAUGAAGGUCAGGCUGACGACCUUACCAGACUAGCUGAGAGGUGGUGCAUGGCCGUCGCCAGUUCGUGCCGUGAGGUAUCCUGUUAAGUCAGGCAACGAACGAGACCCGUGCCUUUAGUUGCCAGCAAGAAGUUACGACUUCGUUGGGAACACUAAAGGGACUGCCGCCGAUAAGGCGGAUGAAGGAGCGGGCCACGGCAGGUCAGUAUGCCCCGAAUCCCCCGGGCCACACGCGGGCUGCAAUGGUAUGGACAAUGGGCUGCAACUCCGAAAGGAGGAGCCAAUCCCGAAACCAUAUCUCAGUUGGGAUUGUCGGCUGUAACCCGCCGACAUGAACGUGGAAUCCCUAGUAACCGUGUGUCAUCAUCGCACGGUGAAUACGUCUCUGCUCCUUGCACACACCGCCCGUCGCUCCACCCGAGUGGAUCAUAAAUGAGGCAUAGUCCUCUGGGUUAUGUCGAGUUUAUGGUCUGCAAGGGGGGAGAAGUCGUAACAAGGUAGCCGUAGGGGAACCUGCGGCUGGAUCACCUCC
rnacentral:rRNA from 1 species